GCUUGGUUGAUUAGUGGCGAACGGGUGAGUAACACGUGAGUAACCUGCCCCUUACUUUCCUGGAUAACUGCUCGAAAGGGUAGCUAAUACGGGAUAUUCUGACCAGCCUGCAUGGGUUGGUUUGGAAAGGUUGUUUUUCUGGUAAGGGAUGGGCUCGCGGCCUAUCAGCUUGUUGGUGGGGUGAUGGCCUACCAAGGCUUUGACGGGUAGCCGGCCUGUGAGGGUGGACGGUCACACUGGGACUGAGAUACGGCCCAGACUCCUACGGGAGGCAGCAGUGGGGAAUAUUGCACAAUGGGCGCAAGCCUGAUGCAGCGACGCCGCGUGAGGGAUGAAGGCCUUCGGGUUGUAAACCUCUUUCGUCAGGGAACAAGGCACUACGUUUUGGUGGUGUUGAGGGUACCUGGAUAAGAAGCGCCGGCUAACUACGUGCCAGCAGCCGCGGUAAUACGUAGGGCGCAAGCGUUGUCCGGAAUUAUUGGGCGUAAAGAGCUCGUAGGCGGCUGGUCGCGUCUGUCGUGAAAACUUCCGGCUCAACCGGGGGCUUGCGGUGGGUACGGGCCGGCUAGAGUGCGGUAGGGGUAACUGGAACUCCUGGUGUAGCGGUGGAAUGCGCAGAUAUCAGGAAGAACACCGAUGGCGAAGGCAGGUUACUGGGCCGUUACUGACGCUGAGGAGCGAAAGCGUGGGGAGCGAACAGGAUUAGAUACCCUGGUAGUCCACGCCGUAAACGUUGGGCACUAGGUGUGAGGCUCCUUUCCGGGGUUUUGCGCCGUAGCUAACGCA
rnacentral:rRNA from 1 species